rnacentral:rRNA from 1 species
CCUACGGGAGGCAGCAGUGAGGAAUAUUGGUCAAUGGGCUUACGCCUGAACCAGCCAAGCCGCGUGAGGGAAGAAUGCCCUAUGUGUUGUAAACCUCUUUUGUCAGGGAGCAACGCCGGCUACUUGUAGCCGGACUGAGAGUACUUGAAGAAAAACCAUCGGCUACCUCCGUGCCAGCAGCCGCGGUAAUCCGGAGGAUGCGAGCGUUAUCCGGAUUCAUUGGGUUGAAAGGGUGCGUAGGCGGAAUGCCAAGCCAGCGGUAAAAUCGCGGGGCUCAACCUCGCUCCGCCGUUGAAACUGGCGUGCUGGAGUGGGCGAGAAGUAUGCGGAAUGCGUGGUGUAGCGGUGAAAUGCAUAGAUAUCACGCAGAACUCCGAUUGCGAAGGCAGCAUACCGGCGCCCAACUGACGCUGAGGCACGAAAGCGUGGGUAUCGAACAGGAUUAGAUACCCGAGUAGUC